GCUCCCCUUCCCCACCGGUCCAGCCCGCGCCCGAAGAGGGCUGGAUGGGUGGGAGGGGGCCUGGCUGGCUCAGUGGGUGAGGGAGCUAUUGCAAACCCAAUGCAUUUUGUCUUACAGUUUUAAGCAAGCCUAGCCGUUAAUGCAGCAUCUCAACACCCCCCCCCCCCGCAAUGCAAUCCACAAACACAGAGGAGCAAACGAAGCUCCACGCGAAACACCCUCCUUACACAGCUCCGUGCCCCGACGCACUAGGCUGGCCGGGUUCUGAGUUUCUCCAUCCAGUCCCGGGGCUGGUGCAGAAGGCGAUUCAGCCAUGAUGUUUCGCCAUUCUGGAUCACCGUCCGUCAAAGCACUUUGCAAAUAUGAAUGACGCCUCACAGCACUGCAGUAAGGCAAUGGCACCAGUUCAUCAGAGUAAGACCUUGGCUGUACCAGAUGGUGAUGGCAACUAUUCAUUCGCCAGGGUGAAAUUCGCUGCGGGGCACAGGACAAGCGCAAGAUCUGUGCACCACUUAAAUCCCACUUGAGUUGAGGCCUCACAAUAUGGAUUUUGUGACUGCUGGUCAAGGUUCCUCCACACUAGAUCAUAUUUGGGAAGGGACUUAAGUAAGUGCAUAAAUCCAUCGCUCUUCAGGACAGCACUUAAGCAUGUGUUUAACAUUAAGCAUUGCUUAAAUGUCAUUGUGGGAUUUAAGCACUUGCUUAAAGUUAGGUAUGUACUUAAGUGCUGGACACUUUUCUGACUUGAGGCCUUCAUGACAACUCCCUGGGGUCUGGUGGGGGGCUGCCAGUGACCUCCCUUUCUCUUGUGCACCUUCUAAUCCAGACGGGAUCUAUCGCUGCUGAUGUGAUAGCUGGAAUUUAGAGCGCCAUUGUAAUUUAAAGAGUCUAUGCACUAUAUAAGCCAUAUUUGGAGGACUUAUGUGGCACAUGGACCUUGUGCUUC